UGUUUACGUCGUUCCGAUAACGGCCAUGGUCAUUAGUUUACAUUUUUCUUACAACCAUUUUGUUACUAAAUAAUAUUCGUCGUUCAGCUUCCGUCCGAAUACCAAUUUCGAUUCAGUUAAUUUUUUUUCGCAAUCAUCAUCAGUAUUAUGCUCGUGCGUAUACUGCUCGUUCAAAAACAAUGUACGGUGGUCCGAUUGAAAUGCAACUUUUGGUUCAAAAAAUUUGUUGGUAACAUUUUAGAAGUCUCGAGGAUCACGUUAGUGAUACGGUACAUUUGUAAUAUGCCACAUAUUACCAAUUAAAAUAAUAAAAUGUUACACGUAAAAAUCGAACAAUAUGUAAUAUGCCUGAUGCUAAACAGAAGGGAACGAGCUACAGGAGGCCAUCCACCAGUGUAUAAAUAGAGCUUUGGAUCAACACAUGUCCAGUUAAUUAGUACAAACACCCCGCUUAUGAUUGUCAUUUUCAUGUUAUUGUUGCCUAUGCUGAUUUCUGUCUAAACAUUAAUUGUUACAUGAUCCAGUAUUCGGCAGCAUAUAACACAGUCAUCAAUGAGUAUCAUGACUGUGCCAUCGUAUCGUUUGACAAUAGUUUCAUAGAAUCAUAUCAGAUGUAUUUAAUGGCCAACAAAAAUCCUUAGGGUAUGAUCCAUUGUUGUUCGAUCAAUCAAUUGAUUUGAAGAAAUAAUACAUUUUGUCAGUUCUAACAAAAAAUAUGACACAUGGGCUCUUGAAUAAUUACUAAUGGUAGUUGGAUUAACUUUUGUUUUAUACAAAUAGUUUACGUGUUGUUUAAAAUUAUGAAGAAUACCCAAAGCUGUAAUAGGAUAAAUAUAAAAUUUUUGUAAGCCGUCAAUUAAGAAGAUCCAAAAUAUUGUUACUUAAAGCAUACAUAAUUUUUACUUAUAAUUAACGAUUCUUAGGUUAGAUAUUUAGUUUA
rnacentral:lncRNA from 1 species